UUCAUUCCUAAGGUAGGCAAGAGAUGCUUCUAGUGUUAUCCACUGCCUGGCUCUCGGUUCUUCACCGAUCUCGACCGUCCAUCAUCGCCAUGGCCUCCGUAUCCUCGGCGCCUUCCGCCGCCAUCGCCGGAGGGGUUGAGUCCCCGGAGGGGAAGCGGGUGGUGGUCUGCGGGGGCGGCGUCAUCGGCGCGUGCACCGCCUACUUCCUCGCGACGAAGGGCACCGCCCGCGUCACAGUGGUGGAGAAGUCCGCCGUCGCCUGCGCCGCCUCCGGAAAGGCCGGUGGAUUCCUAGCCCUCGACUGGUGCGAUGGCAGCCCGCUCGGUGGCCUCGCCCGCGCUAGCUUCCACCUCCACCGCUCCCUCGCCGCCGCCCUCGACGGUCCCACCAACUACGGCUAUCGACCACUCGACACCCUCUCCCUCUCCCUCCUCCCCGACGCAUCCUCCGCGGCGGCCGCUCGGGCCUCGCCUUCCCUUCCUCCAUGGGUCGAUGGCCCCGCGGCCCGGCCGCCGCGGACGAUCGGGACCACUGAUACCACUGCCCAAGUCCAUCCACAGCUCUUCACCCGGACACUCCUCUCCGCCGCCGCCGCGGAGCACGGGGUGGAGGUGGUGAUCGGCGAGUUGGACCGGGUAGAGGUGGAGGACGGCCGGGCAGUUGGUGUGGCUCUCAAGGGCGGCGGCGGCCCUUUCAUUCAGGCGGACGCUGUGGUUUUAGCCCUCGGCCCGUGGUCGAAUCGAUCGCCCAUCGUCUCCUCCCUCUUCAACGUCUCUAGCCUCAAGGCUCAUAGCAUCGUCCUCCGGCCGAAAUCCCCCGCCGCCAUUACCCCUCACGCCCUCUUCCUCACCUACCAACCAGCGCCUGGGGCCAAGACCUUGGACCCCGAAGUCUAUCCAAGACCCACAGGAGAAGUGUACAUCUGCGGUAUGUCGAAGGAAUACGAGGUGCCCGACGAUCCCGAAGAGAUCGUGGGAGAGAGGGAAUCGAUCGCGAUGCUGCAUAAGAUAGCGGGCACUGUGUCGUGUCAUCUGAAAGAGGGGGAGGUGGACGUGGUGGCAGAGCAAGCUUGCUGUUUGCCGUGCACGGAUGAUGGAUUGCCUGUGAUUGGGGAGAUUCCCGAGGUCAAGGGAUGCUACAUUGCGACUGGGCACAGCUGCUGGGGGAUUCUGAAUGGCCCUGCCACCGGAGCCUCGCUUGCCGAACUCAUCUUAGAAGGUCACUCCACCACUGCUGAUCUCAAACCUUUCAGUCCCUCCAGGUUUCUCCGCAGGCGCACCAGGUCACGGUAGACUGAGCCUUUAAUCAUGUGGCCCAAAACGUUGAAGCCUAUAUACAUGUCAUCACAAGGCCUCUCAAACUUCUGGAAUGGAAUUAAUUGGGAUACCACAGUCUUCCUCAUUCAAAGUGAUGAAUUGGAAACUGGACAGAGAACAAAAAGGAAAAUCUAAUGAGUCAGAGAACCUGCAAUGCUUCUAUUAAGCUUCUGAGAAUCACAAUUAUAAAGGUUUAGGGUUGACUUGUCGCGAGCAAGAUAGCACAUAAAAUUGGCACAAAUGAGAAAUUUGCUGGGUUCUUUUUUUUUUUUUUUUGCUGCAUUUGAAGUUGCUUGAUCUCAAAGGGUCCUUUGAAUUCUGAAAGAGUUGUUGUUGUUCACAGGAUCAGCAUGUGCUCGUCCUCUAAUCAAGAGAUUGAAGUCAAUGGCUCAAGCAGCAGCUCGGGGUCCCAGAAUCAUGUUCUGCUAUUAACCAAUGCUUUCCUGUUUCUUAAGCCUGACCACAUGCACAUAACGUGGAAGUCGGCAGCUUGAGCCUGGUUGGUGAAACUAUAAUUUCCUCAAUAUAUCUUUAGAUAAUACUUGAGCACAAGGUUCAUGGACAAGGAGACAAAGCUUUGAGUGAUGCCAACUACAAUGACCCACACUUGAAGACUUGGUUGGUCAAAGCAUAUGGUGGUCAACUUUCUUAAAAUCUCCAACUGGGGUUUGAGAUCAAAAUUACUUUACCAUAUGGCCUCUCUGAUCAGCUCAAGUAGGGAGUAGAAUCAUAGUUGAGAUGGAAGUGAAGUUUGAAAAUAAUUAUUUUUUGAGGAAAAAAUAUUUAUGCAUUCCCUUGA